rnacentral:rRNA from 1 species
CCUUCCUACGGGAGGCAGCAGUGGGGAAUAUUGGACAAUGGGCGCAAGCCUGAUCCAGCCAUGCCGCGUGUGUGAAGAAGGCCUUAGGGUUGUAAAGCACUUUCAGUGGGGAGAAAGGUAAUUCACUUAAUACGUGAGUUAAUUGAUGUUACCCACAGAAGAAGCACCGGCUAACUCCGUGCCAGCAGCCGCGGUAAUAAGGGCAG